rnacentral:rRNA from 1 species
UACGUAGGGCGCAAGCGUUAUCCGGAAUUAUUGGGCGUAAAGAGCUCGUAGGCGGUUUGUCGCGUCUGCCGUGAAAGUCCGGGCUCAACUCCGGAUCUGCGGUGGGUACGGGCAGACUAGGGUGAUGUAGGGGAGACUGGAAUUCUGGUGUAGCGGUGAAAUGCGCAGAUAUCAGGAGGAACACCGAUGGCGAAGGCAGGUCUCUGGGCAUUAACUGACGCUGAGGAGCGAAAGCAUGGGGAGCGAACAGG